rfam:Malonomonas rubra DSM 5091 genome assembly, contig: EJ68DRAFT_scaffold00012.12
UUUGAAAAAGGCAAACCUAGGGCAACCUAGGGACGCAAAGCCACGGGUCCUUCAUGGACAGCCGGGUUGCCAGGU